GCCGGUGUGAUGGAAUUGGUAGACGUGCCAGACUCAAAAUCUGGUGGGGAUCACACCCCGUGUCGGUUCGACCCCGACCACCGGCA
rnacentral:tRNA from 1 species